rnacentral:rRNA from 1 species
AGGGGGACAACAGUUGGAAACGACUGCUAAUACCGCAUACGAUCUAAUCUCGGCAUCGAGGAUAGAUGAAAGGUGGCCUCUACAUGUAAGCUAUCACUGAAGGAGGGGAUUGCGUCUGAUUAGCUAGUUGGAGGGGUAACGGGCCCACCAAGGCGAUGAUCAGUAGCCGGUCUGAGAGGAUGAACGGCCACAUUGGGACUGAGACACGGCCCAGACUCCUACGGGAGGCAGCAUG